ensembl:lncRNA uncharacterized LOC109315132
GUCAGAUCGAAAUAGCGGGGGGGGGGCAGAAUCCUCUGCUGAAUAAAUUGGGAGUAGGAGGAUUAUCAUCCCUUUUGCAAGGUUUUCAGCUCCUGGAAGUGCCAUGACAAAGCAGCAAGAUGCAGUCAAGGACCUGAGACUUCUUUUAGAUGCCCGUUGCCUUUCAGAGCACUGAUUCCUGCUGUUUGGAUUUAACACUACAUAACAGCUCUUAUGUGCCUUUGGCCUGUGGAUCACUGAGCAAGUGCCCAUUGGACCCAGCAUACAAAACAUCCUGAUGGGAUCACUCCCUGUAACAUCAUUGUGGUUUCUGUUCCUGUCUCUGCAGAUUUUCUCUCCUUUGUCAAAUGGUGUUAGCCAUACCAGUUGGUUGUGCGGUCCCAAUAAUAUUUUAAAUGUGACAGUGACCUGGUGUGAUCCACUCUGCCUAGAUAAAACUUUCAGCAAUGCUCUCAGAAUCAACAAUACAGCCAGAACAUUUCUCAGUAAUGAUGCAAGCCUUUGUCUCAGUAUUUAUCAACAGGAUGUCACUGUGCACAUAAAAAACACAACACAGUUGGAAAAGAAAAUCUACAGAAUUUUGAUCGCAGGAAGCAAACCGCCUGUAGAAAGGUAUUUACAAGUGAAGUUUACAGCUUCUCCUGAUUAUACCAAGGAUGACAUCAGUACACAGAACAUUACAUGCCAAAUAACCAACAUGAUUCCAGAUGGCUUCUUCCCUACCUCACCUGAAUACCAGACUCAGACAUGUGGAUGGGCAGUUACCACGGAUGCCUAUCACAACAAUGCUGUUCCAGAGAAGAUUGUAGGCAUAACUGAACCAGGACCCAUGGCUGCUGUUGUGCUAGUAAUCUUGGUAAUUCUAGGUGGUGUGGUGUACAGCAUUCGAUGCUUCAAAAGACAGCCAGGGAGAUUCCUGGGAUGGAUAGCGAUUAAGCAGAUGCAACCUGAAGAUGAGGAAUAGAAAACCUGAAACGUGAUAGGGGAAAAAAAAGUCUUCAAUUGGGAAAGGACUCCACCAGCACCAGAGGACUGGUAAAAGUACUUGAGGAAAGUCAUCUUUACUACAUCCUGAGCAGCCCAAAUAUAUUGUUGAAUUUUUGGUGAAUGCACUGUAAUACCCUUAGAAACACUUUUAUUGAAGAAAAGCCCUAGUCAUCAUCAUACAACUGCUUUGUGGCAUACAGUAUCUUUCUGGAGCUCUACAAGGCAUCAGGUACCCUAGAGGCAGGAUCCAGCUUCAGAACUAUUCAACCUGUCCCAAAGCACAUUUCCUGAACCUGCUGAACUCUUUUGUUCAGAUCCUGCCUUUCAUUACCUGCACGAUCAGCCCAUCCAGGAGCCUUUCUGGAAUUGAUGAAAACAAGGACAAUUCAAUGGCCAUAACUUUGUAGAAUAUCCUGUUCCUUAUUAAACACGGGCUUCUGGACUAAGUGUAUAUAAAGGGUAUUGGGUUUUAACAAAAUAAUUACAUGAUCUUACAAAUUCCACCUCAAUCUCACAUUUCUUCACUACAGUUUGUGGUAUUUAAGAUGAAAGCUAAAAAACCCCUUUUGAUUCUAAUGUGAAGUUUUUGCAGGCCAGGUUUUAGCUGAACAGCAUUUGGAAGCAAAUGUAUCAAUUUUCUCAGAAUUGUUCAAGAAAUCCUAGCUUAACCCAGGAAUUGUGUGUUGAAAACCUGAGGCAGGUUGUUUCUGUUCAUCAUUUAAAUCCCUAAUAAAUUGCAGUAAUUACUAUAACUGGGGCA